rnacentral:rRNA from 1 species
UACGUAGGGUGCGAGCGUUGUCCGGAAUUAUUGGGCGUAAAGGGCUCGUAGGCGGUUUGUCGCGUCGGGAGUGAAAUCCACUGGCUUAACUGGUGGCUUGCUUCCGAUACGGGCAGACUAGAGGUAUGCAGGGGAGAACGGAAUUCCUGGUGUAGCGGUGAAAUGCGCAGAUAUCAGGAGGAACACCGGUGGCGAAGGCGGUUCUCUGGGCAUUACCUGACGCUGAGGAGCGAAAGUGUGGGGAGCGAACAGG